CCUACGGGAGGCACCAGUGGGGAAUAUUGCACAAUGGGCGCAAGCCUGAUGCAGCCAUGCCGCGUGUGUGAAGAAGGCCUUCGGGUUGUAAAGCACUUUCAGCGGGGGAGAGGGCGGUGAGGUUAAUAACCUCAUCGAUUGACGUUACCCGCAGAAGAAGCACCGGCUAACUCCGUGCCAGCAGCCGCGGUAAUACGGAGGGUGCAAGCGUUAAUCGGAAUUACUGGGCGUAAAGCGCACGCAGGCGGUCUGUCAAGUCGGAUGUGAAAUCCCCGAGCUCAACCUGGGAACUGCAUUCGAAACUGGCAGGCUAGAGUCUUGUAGAGGGGGGUAGAAUUCCAGGUGUAGCGGUGAAAUGCGUAGAGAUCUGGAGGAAUACCGGUGGCGAAGGCGGCCCCCUGGACGAAGACUGACGCUCAGGUGCGAAAGCGUGGGGAGCAAACAGGAUUAGAUACCCGGGUAGUC
rnacentral:rRNA from 1 species